GCAGUACACAUGGUAAGCGCUUGCAUCAAAAACCGAGAAAACAGAAAGACAUGGGACAGGGACACAAGUCGGCAGGCUAACAAGUACAGCAGAGCAGAUAAAAACCCAGAAGGAUAUGGCUAGUUGCGUAGUGACUCCAUCCCCUAUUCAAAUUCAAACUCGCAGACAUAGAACUGGCAUCAUACGACGCUUCUCUGUACCGGCUCUCAAGGUUCCUCUGCCGCCUGCAAUUCGUCCCCGUCUUACUCCAAGAAUCUUUUGUAACUACGAUGAUCCCAAUAGCAACAGCCAGAAACAGCCCUCUUCAGUUCAGCUCUAUGGUGAAAUCGAGAGAUUACUUACGGAGACUGUAAGGCAAUCGCAAGGUGCUUGGGGUGGUUCAAGUGAUUGGAGCCAAGUCGAGGGAGCAUGGGUUCUCCAACCAAAAUACUCAAAACCUAAGUCAGUUGUUCAUUUUGUUGGUGGUAUAUUUGUUGGAGCCGCUCCUCAGCUUACCUAUCGUUGGUUUUUGGAGCGCCUUUCAGAAAAGGGUGUUUUGGUGAUUGCGACACCAUAUGCUAGUGGGUUUGAUCACUUCUUCAUCGCAGAUGAAGUCCAGUUUAAAUUUGACAGGUGUUUACGGUUCCUACAAGAAACAGUGCAUGAUCUUCCCACUUUUGGUAUUGGCCAUUCUUUGGGUUCUGUCAUCCAUCUUUUGAUUGGAUCAAGAUAUGCCGUGCAAAGAAGUGGGAAUGUAUUAAUGGCAUUCAACAACAAGGAAGCAAGCUUAGCCAUCCCAUUGUUUUCACCUGUUCUUGUGCCCGUGGCCCAAAGCAUUGGACCCAUUCUAUCACAAAUUGUGUCGUCACCGACAAUACGCAUGGGGGCUGAGAUGACACUGAAGCAAAUAGAGAACUUUAGCCCUCCCCUUAUGAAGCAGGUUCUUCCUCUAGUUGAACAACUUCCACCCUUGUACAUGGACUUAGUCAAGGGAAGAGAAGAUUUCAGUCCAAAACCAGAAGAAACUCGACGACUUAUAAAGUCAUACUAUGGCAUUUCGAGGAACCUUCUAAUAAAGUUCAAAGAUGACUCAAUUGAUGAAACUCCGAAGUUGGCUCAGGUGCUAAGUUCGGACUCAGCCAUCAGCUCAAUGCUGGACAUGUCAAUUCGAUUGUUGCCAGGAGAUCAUGGGCUUCCUCUACAACAAGCCCUUCCAGAUGUUCCACCCGCAAUGGCAGAUGCAGUAAAUCGUGGAAGUGAGUUUUUGGCAAAUCUGACAGUGGGAACACCGUGGGAGACUGUUGCCAAAGAAGUCAGCAAUACAUUAGGUACAGACUCGACAGUUCUUCGUGCAGAAAUUUCUAAGGACAUAGACCUUCUUGUGGACGUGAUCACUUCCUGGAUGGCUUCAAAUUCAGGUCCAAAACUUUUAAGGGGUUGAUGUGUAGGAUUGAACUCCAACUAAAAUCAACAAGGAGCUGUUUUGUUCAUACCGAUUUUCCUGUGAGAAGUUGAGAGAAAACUGAGAAACAACAAACUAAUGCCGGAAUCUGCAUGUGUGUUCUCAUUAAGAAAGAAAUGAAUGCAAUUAAGAGUAUUUAUUCUCUAUCUAACAAAAAAACAAGGGACUUCAGGUUAGUUAACUAUCAAUUAAUCAGCAUUUACAGUUUCAGUAAAAGAAUAAAGUAACUGAUUAAAACAAAU